rnacentral:lncRNA from 1 species
GGGCACGUCUGAGCGAUGAACACACACACCAGAAUGAUACGUUCAUUGUUCUGUUGGCUUCCCCUUGGGGUUGAUGACUCAGUGGGCGAUGGUUCACUGCCAUCUAGGGGGUCCUGACUUGGCUCAAAUCUCUGACCUGGGCAGAGGCCAGAGCCCUGCCCAGCAAGGCAGGUGGGAUAUGACAGUCUACAGAUGCCCGCUGGAGAUGAUCUGGGCUUUCUUUCUCUUCUCGCACGAACUGAUGGAUGGAGAAUUAUCUUCUGGUGAAGAUGCUGCUUCACGAGAUGUUGCCAGCCUAUCCGAGGCCUGGAAACCGCCUGGUGGAAUGAAUUAUCCGUACAGUCCAGACACUCCCUGAUAGGUGGAAGCUGGAAAAACACUACCAUCCUUGCCAUGAAUCUCUGGCUCUGUGGAGUCAGGUAGCUGGAGAGGGAAGGGGAGAUGAGAUGGCAGAUUCUGGGGACAGUCCCUUCUCAGGAUUUGGCUGCAAGCUUGUCUGGCCGAGGGUGGUGGUGAGGCUGUUGGACGCGGGUUGAAAUGCAGAACUGAUUAAAAGUGGAUGAUAUCUGAGGCCCAGGAUUUUCUCUGGGUUUUGAGAACCUGAAAGUGCUCUGAUCUUCAGAUCCAAUCGAUGUCACAGCAGCAGGGCGCCGGAUGCAGUGACAGGCCAGCCAGAAGGGGUUUCGGUGUCCUCUGAAUCUCAGAAAUGCCAGAGGGAGGCUUUCUUGCAUGAGAUUUUAGACUCCAAGAUCUCUGGGAAGAAGAAAACUCAGUCCCUUUAAAACCCCAGAAGGGUGUGGGGGAUGAGCUAAACCUGCCCACAUCCCAUCCCGACUUUGAGGGCCAUCUGUAGCCCUGCUCCCCCUGGUCUCACUCUUGUAUCUGUGCUCUGGAUUCUUGAGAACAAUAAACAAGAACAGACAGAAUGAGGAAAGUAACAGGUCAACAGAUUCUAGGCCUUGUGUUAGAAAAUGCCUGCAUGAGGCAGUCAGAACCCCAAAGUCUUUCCCCACCUCCAGAAAAUCAGAAUAAAAAAGAAGAAGAAGAAAAAAAAAACAGUCCAAGGAACAAUGGGAGGAAAUGAAAGAGACCAGAAGACAUCAGCUGCAAUAAUGACCAACAAUAGAACUCCCAAGAUGUUACUGUGUAUUACAAAAGAAGAAAGUAGACUCAAUGGCCCAAUUAUAAAUUUGCUAAAAAUACAUA